rnacentral:rRNA from 1 species
AUUGAACGCUGGCGGCAUGCCUUACACAUGCAAGUCGAACGGUAACAGGUCUUCGAAUGCUGACGAGUGGCGAACGGGUGAGUAAUACAUCGGAACGUGCCCAGACGUGGGGGAUAACGAGGCGAAAGCUUUGCUAAUACCGCAUACGAUCUAAGGAUGAAAGCAGGGGACCGCAAGGCCUUGCGCGUUUGGAGCGGCCGAUGGCAGAUUAGGUAGUUGGUGGGAUAAAAGCUUACCAAGCCGACGAUCUGUAGCUGGUCUGAGAGGACGACCAGCCACACUGGGACUGAGACACGGCCCAGACUCCUACGGGAGGCAGCAGUGGGGAAUUUUGGACAAUGGGCGAAAGCCUGAUCCAGCAAUGCCGCGUGCAGGAUGAAGGCCUUCGGGUUGUAAACUGCUUUUGUACGGAACGAAAAGGCUCUGGCUAAUACCUGGGGCACAUGACGGUACCGUAAGAAUAAGCACCGGCUAACUACGUG